CUUCAUUACACAACAACAGUUGCCAUGGCCACUGAAGUGGAGGCAGCAAGCAGCGCUGCUGCAGUGCUGGCAGGAGCUGCUGUGGCUCCCCGGGCACACAGACUCCUGGUGCAUGGGAAGGUGGCUGCAUGAGCAUGCAGGUGAAUUAAUGCACUGCUGCAUGAGUGCAUGGGGGUGGGAGUGCAUGGAUGCAAGGGCAGACAUCCCACUGAGGGCCAGCAGCUGGGAGCAAGCCAUGCCUCACAGAAAAGGUCUGCUGUGAAUGGGCUGAAAUAUUUUGCAUGGGCUCAGUAUGGGCAUCUGCAGCUUCAUGCCUGCUUUAGAAAUAGGGAUGAGUGCUGGAAAGGGAGGGGGUGGAGCUGCAAGGAUGCUCAACACACUGCCAGCUUUCUGUGCAUGUGCAAGCCAUGAAAGUGAUAAAACAAAAAUAGGCACUCAGUAGUUCAAGAAGUGGGCUACUCUGAAGAGGCAGCCCACCCCUCCUGUUGGCCUGCUCUCCUGCUGUGCACAGGGCUUGUGAAGGAAUGGGAGAGAUCAUCUGAAACUGUUGGGGCCUAUGGUUCUGUUGGUGCACUGCAGGAAAUGCAGCCAAAGAGGAAAGCAGUGCCCAGCAGUUGCUGCUCAGGCAGCUGUAAGGAGCAAGUGAAGUCGUGUACAGUGCACACUGGAGCUGGCAGUACUCAAAAGAGGGAUUCUGGCAUGCACCACCAGAUCAAGGUGUUUGCUUUUAUUAACUCACCUCCAUGCAGAUUUAUUGAAGACACCCACAAAGAAUCUGCUGAUGUGAGUUACUUACAGCAACAAAAAGCUCUUGCUGUGAAAAUUGCCAACCACUGUUUCUUCUUCAUCCCUGCUCUGCUGGAGAUACUGGGGCAGGAACAGUGGCAGCAGACCUGCACUGGCCACCCAAGCUCACCCAAGUUUGGUGUGCACUUCUAGCCUUGAAGAAGUGAGGAUUUAAAUCCACCAUGCAGGGGACUGCCAGUGGAGGGGAGGCUACACUGCCUGUCUUGCUGCUGCUCCUGUUGUAGCUGAGAUGCAAGAAAAAGGACUGGUAACUUAAAUCAGUGCAGUGAGACCAGCUAGAGUUAAUUUUGCAGAGCUCUUUGUUACUCAUGGCACAUUACUUUUGUUUAUAUUCUGUUCUAUAAAACUAAAUAGUUCCUCUCAGUUGUUUUACAGUCUCUAAAGAGCUCUAGCUCAUUUCUCAUCCCAUUUUACAUUUGUUUGCUUGUUUCUCAAGCCAAUUCUUCCAGUGUCUCCUAAAUCAUGUCUACUGUUGUCUGAAUCCCUUCCAGUUUCUUGCCAUCUGCUCAGUGCCAAAAUGAACAAAAUAUUCAUGGUUCACAGCAAUAUUCACAGUGACACAGAAACAGGAGCCUUGUGCAUCGGAAUUUCUGGGCCUCUCCAGCCAAAUAGCAUAAAGAUUAGUGCCUUUGUGGCUAUAGUGACUGUACCUUUUUAAGCUUUUAACUUACAAGUACAUAGGAUUUCCUUGGAUCAGAUUUUAAAUCCUCCCCUUCCCCUCCCCCUUCCCCUCCCCUUCCUUCCCACCCAUUCUUUUUCUGGAAUCCAGGAGUUGCACUUGUUUUGCGUUAAGAACCCACAAAGGCAAAGCUUUAAACCUUAGCUCAUUGCCUGUUAUGCCACUCCUGAUCUCCGCAGCAUGAUCCCUUCCUCAGGCAGUGGUAUUGUGCUCUUCAGUCUCUUAAGUGUAACACUUUUUCAUGGCUUCAGCCAUACAGUGCCCUGAAAUCUAUUUCUGACCUCUGUGGUUCAAAAUUCCUUGUGGAACUUUGAGUUGUUCUGGAGUCACAUGGGGUCCUGGUUUGUUACAUUUCAUAUUUAUUUUGUUGUCAGAGUCCCAAGAGAAGAUGUGCCCCUUACAAAACCCUGAGCAAGUCACUUUUUUGACGUGUUGUCAAUCACAUUUUACUCUUCUCAGAUGUCCUUAACAUAAUGUUCACAAAAAUCAACCUAGCUGUUCUUGGCCAUUCAUCAUUGAUUCCUGGAAACUUUUUCCUUUAAUCCAAGAGUGAGAAUUCUCCCCAGCCUUUCCAUGUCCCAUUGUGUUGUGAGAAAUCUGCUCCAGAGCAAGACAGCCUGUUGGCAGGCUCCUGAUCACCACAGCACCUUUCCUGGGAGGAGGAAACACAAACCUUCAGACAUCACUGCUCUGACUUCAGUCAGCCAGGUCAUAUUCUGUAGAUGAAGCUCCUCAGCCACACCAACCCUCACAAUGUGGUGUCAGCUUUUGGCACACUUUGUGGCAGGGAAAGGCUGACCUAUCAGACACAGCAGCUUGGAGCAGUCCCUUCAAGACACACUGAGCAAAAGCUCCAGAUUUUGCUUUUCUGGUAGUUUUGAGUUUCAUAGCUGUUGCAACACCAGGCAGAAUUCUCUAUAAAUGCUACUGUUUGCUGUGUCUAAUUUAUUUCACAGCAAAUAAAAGUGCACAUGAUAGUUAUCCAUUCCCUCAGAGAGUAAUAUAAAUUCUUGAGCCUUUCCCUCACUUAGCCAAGACUUUUCCCCUCUGUUGCUUUAAGUGUGACAUUUUUCUCUGAGGUAGGUGACUUUACAGCUCUGUUGGCUAACCUUGGUAAAAACCUUUUCCCAGAAGUUUGAUGAUGAUUCACUGGCAUUAUCCAGAGCACAGAUUCUCCUGUUUAAGCAACUCACACAAUUUCUGUCAGCAGCAUGUCUGAACACCAAAAAUUGCCAAGUGAUGACAAGCCUGAGAAGGGCUGGUGUUGGCAGAGCAGUUUUUUCCUGUCAUGUUGAGGUUACAGAUACUUUAGUGUGUCUGUUCUGGAUGCAUAGCUGUAGAUCCCCUCAGGAAGCACUUUUUCUCCCCUGUAAGAUCAUAUCAGAAAGAAGUAUUGAUCAGAAUAACAGUGAAGAGAUUAAAGCUGUGUUGCAGAAUGGGGUGUUGAAAGAAGCCUCAAGUGAACAUCUGCUAUUGUAUUCAGGUCCUGCAGUCUUCUGCUCUUGUUUCCUCCUGUCUUGAGCUUGGCAAGUGAAAGCGAGGUUCAGUGCAAACAUUAGACACUUUGUUCCACAUAUAGCUUCACAUGUAGGUGGCGAAAGGGCCAAGGCUGAAUUUGUUCUCUUCUAGUCUCUAUAAACAACCUGAACAUCUUGCAGCUGUCAGAACACAGACCAUCACAUCUCAUAAACCAUCUGCAAACCUUUAUGUGAUAUGGAAGAUAGAAAGAACAGGCGGUGUCUGUAAGUUGUUCUCAUUAAAACAUCUAAUUCAAGUCAGUCUGAUGCAAAGUUCAGUUUUUCCAAAGUGUGUACUGGUUUUCACGUAUGCCAGUGGGUCAUGGGGUAGUCUCACACUCACAUGGCAAAACAAGUACCCUCUGAUAACCUUCCCAUGGGAACAUGCAUUGCAAGAAUGAUCUUAACACUCUCAGCCUGCUAGGGAGUGACAAGUAAGACAACCUUGGGCUGUGGGACAGUAACUUGAUUUCUGCAGAAGUUUGAGCAGCACAGCCUGAAAACAGAAAUAAAAAUGCUUUGGUGGAGACGGGGGAGGAAAUGCCCCCACCUCAGGGCAGCCAUACCUGAUUCUUCCUUACUCCUCAUCUGAGGACUCCUGGAGAGGAGUUGUUGCUGCUGGGGCUGUCUCUGCUCAUCAGUGUCACAUUAAUUUCUGUAUAUUCUGGUCCAGGUCGUGGCACACCUACUUUGCAUCUAAAUCCACUUUGUCAAAGAGCUUGCAGUAGUGCAGAUCACAGUGUUUCUUCGUCCCUCUACCCUUUUGUUAGAGAGAAAUUUCAAUUCCAGAAUAUAGGUGAAACAAAUCCACAGCAGCGGUUUCACUGGCACCCUUCAAAGUAUCUGCAGAAACUAGCUAGAAGAAGUUGCUCAGUUCAGGUUCUACUGAACAAAGCUCUUGCCUCCAUGACUGUCACAGCCAGACUCAGACACACAUCAGGGGAUGGGAAGCUUGGGCUGGCACCAAGAAACCUAUUUUUAAACUGUCCCUGCUGCAUAACAUAAUAUGAGAUUAAAUUGCAUGAUGCUUACUCCCUAAUUGCUUAACGUGAUGCCCCAGGAGGCCACAGGGGUGGGUCUGGGGUGUUCUGCUACCCCUGCUCUACCCACUGCCUCCCGAGGGCUGCGGGAGCUCCAUCGCCUCUGAGCUUUCGGGCAUGGUGACAACAGUCAGACUUUCAGGCUCUGCCCAAGAGCAGGUUUUUCACUUUCUAAGGCAUGCAGUGACUUUUCAGCAAGGUUUUCUGCAUGGCUUGUACUUUCUAAGAAAGGAGCUGAAGCGAAGCCCAAGAGUCAAGAAGCAGCUCUGUCACUUGCCCCAGGGACAGCAGCGCUAUGUACAUGCUCAGAAAGAAUCCCUGCAGAUCA
rnacentral:lncRNA from 1 species